GUUUUCGUUCCUCUGCCCGCCAUGCCGUUCCUAGAGCUGGACACGAAUUUGCCCGCCAACCGAGUGCCCGCGGGGCUGGAGAAACGACUCUGCGCCGCCGCUGCCUCCAUCCUGGGCAAGCCCGCGGACCGCGUGAACGUGACGGUGCGGCCAGGCCUGGCCAUGGCGCUGAGCGGGUCCACUGAAACCUGCGCGCAGCUGUCCGUCUCCUCCAUCGGGGUAGUUGGCACCGCCGAAGAAAACUGCAGCCACAGCGCCCACUUAUUUGAGUUUCUCACCAAGGAGCUAGCCCUGGGCCAGGACAGGAUAUUUAUCCGCUUUUUCCUCCUGGAAUCCUGGCAGAUUGGCAAGCUAGGGACGGUCGUGACUUUUUUGUGAUUGGCGCGGAGGGAUCCGGGACAUUUAUGAGCUGGCUGCUUCUUCCAGAGAGAUCUCCUGGCAGAGUGAGGGCCUAGUGAUAACCAGCUUUGGAUUAUCCCACAUGCAACAUUCCUGUGAUCACAUAAUCCUCUUCAUCCUCAUAUGAAAUAAAUGAAGAGAGCUUCCUCGUUCAAAAA